AGCGAACGCUGGCGGCGUGCCUAACACAUGCAAGUCGAACGUGAAAGGGAGCAAUCCCACGUAAAGUGGCGUACGGGUGAGUAACACGUAGGUAAUCUACCCCAGAAUCUGGAAUAACCGGCCGAAAGGCUGGCUAAUACUGGAUAGAGCGACGGAAUCCGUAAUUGGGUUUUUCGGGAAAGGGAGCCUGUAAAAAGGCCUUCGUUCUGGGAUGAGCCUGCGUCCCAUCAGCUAGUUGGUGAGGUAAAAGCUUACCAAGGCAAUGACGGGUAGCUGGUCUGAGAGGACGAUCAGCCACACUGGAACUGAAACACGGCCCAGACUCCUACGGGAGGCAGCAGUGGGGAAUCUUGCGCAAUGGACGAAAGUCUGACGCAGCAACGCCGCGUGAGUGAAGAAGGCCUUCGGGCUGUAAAGCUCUGUCGAGUGGGACGAAAAUGCUUGGAGUUCACAGCUCCAGGAACUGACGGUACCACUAAAGGAAGCACCGGCUAACUCCGUG
rnacentral:rRNA from 1 species